AUUGAACGCUGGCGGCAGGCCUAACACAUGCAAGUCGAGCGAGCGGCGGACGGGUGAGUAAUGCCUGGGAAUCUGCCUGGUAGUGGGGGAUAACGUCCGGAAACGGGCGCUAAUACCGCAUACGAUUGGAGCGGCCGUUGCCCGAUAGGCAAGUUGGUGAGGUAAAGGCUCACCAAGUCGACGAUCGGUAGCUGGUCUGAGAGGACGACCAGCCACCCUGGGACUUAGACACGGCCCAGACUCCUACGGGAGGCAGCAGUGGGGAAUUUUGGACAAUGGGGGCAACCCUGAUCCGUCCAUGUCGCGUGCAGGAUGAAGGUCUUCGGAUUGUAGGCUGCUUUUGUCAGGGAAGCGGUACCUGAAGAAUAAGCACCGGCUAACUACGUGCCAGCAGCCGCGGUAAUAC
rnacentral:rRNA from 1 species